GCCAGCGUGGUGUAGUGGUUUGAACAAUAGACUAUGACUCUGGAGAAAAGGGUUCGAAUCCCCACUCAGCA